CAACCUUUAACGUUUUGCCAAAGAUGAGGAGAGAUAGAGAAGAUGGUUACACUUCUCGAGGAGAAACAAACGGGCAAUCUCCAACCAUACGUGAUGCACUGCAUUAUGUCAGUGCUGUGAGGAACACAUUUCAUGACGACAUAGGGAAAUAUGAGACAUUCCUUGAGGUCAUGAAGGACUUUAGAGCUCAGAGAGACGACCAUAAUGGUGUCAUUAAA